rnacentral:rRNA from 1 species
CAGUCGCCGCGGGAAUACGGAGGGUGCAAGCGUUAAUCGGAAUUACUGGGCGUAAAGCGUGCGUAGGUGGUGGUUUAAGUCCGUUGUGAAAGCCCUGGGCUCAACCUGGGAAUUGCAGUGGAUACUGGGUCACUAGAGUGUGGUAGAGGAUAGUGGAAUUUCCGGUGUAGCAGUGAAAUGCGUAGAGAUCGGAAGGAACAUCUGUGGCGAAGGCGACUAUCUGGGCCAACACUGACACUGAGGCACGAAAGCGUGGGGAGCAAACGGGAUUAGAUACCCCCGUAGUCCCUGUCUCUUAUAC